rnacentral:rRNA from 1 species
GGUCAAGUAGAAAAGGGCGCACGGUGAAUGCCUAGGCACUAAAAGCCGAUGAAGGACGUGACGAACUACGAAAAGCUUCGGGGAGCGGUAAGUACGCAGUGAUCCGGAGAUGUCCGAAUGGGGGAACCCAAUGCAGCGAUGCAUUAUUGGUUGAUGAAUAGAUAGUCAAUCAAAGGAAUACGCAGUGAACUGAAACAUCUAAGUAGCUGCAGGAAGAGAAAGAAAAAUCGAUUUCCUUAGUAGCGGCGAGCGAAGAGGAAAGAGCCCAAACCAAGUGAUUUAUCAUUUGGGGUUGUAGGACUGCGACGUGGCAGCGUGAGCGAUAGCAGAAUUAUCUGGGAAGGUAAGCCAGAGAGGGUGAGAGCCCCGUAAGCAAAAUUGCAAGCGCGCCUAGCAGAAUCCUGAGUAGGCCGGGACACGAGAAAUCCCGGUUGAAUCCGCGAGGACCAUCUCGCAAGGCUAAAUACUAAUUAGUGACCGAUAGUGAACCAGUACCGUGAGGGAAAGGUGAAAAGAACCCCGGAAGGGGAGUGAAAGAGAACCUGAAACCGUGUGUCUACAAGUAGUCAAAGCACAUUAAAGUGCAAUGGCGUGCCUUUUGUAGAAUGAACCGGCGAGUUACGUUAUCUAGCGAGGUUAAGUCAGAAAAGACGGAGCCGGAGCGAAAGCGAGUCUGAAUAGGGCGAGAAGUUAGGUGACGUAGACCCGAAACCAAGUGACCUACCCAUGACCAGGCUGAAGGCGUGGUAAAACGCGCUGGAGGGCCGAACCCACGUAAGUUAAAAAUUGCGGGGAUGAGUUGUGGGUAGCGGUGAAAUUCCAAACGAACUUGGAGAUAGCUGGUUCUCUCCGAAAUAGCUUUAGGGCUAGCCUCGUGGAGAGGAUAAUGGAGGUAGAGCUCUGUUUGGACUAGGGGCCCGUCAGGGGUUACUGAAUCCAGAUAAACUGCGAAUUCCAGAUAUCCAUACACGGGAGUCAGACUGCGAGUGAUAAGAUCCGUAGUCGAAAGGGAAACAGCCCAGAUCACCAGUUAAGGUCCCAAAAUCUAUGCUAAGUGGAAAAGGAUGUGGAGUUGCGUAGACAACUAGGACGUUGGCUCAGAAGCAGCCAUCAUUCAAAGAGUGCGUAAUAGCUCACUAGUCGAGUGACGCUGCGCCGAAAAUUUACCGGGGCUAAGCAUAGUACCGAAACUGUGGAUGUACGUAAGUACGUGGUAGGAGAGCGUUCUAAGUGCGGCGAAGGUUAACCGAGAGGAUAAUUGGAGCGCUUAGAAGUGAGAAUGCCGGUAUGAGUAGCGAAAGAUAGGUGAGAAUCCUAUCCGCCGAAAGACUAAGGUUUCCUGGGGCAGGCUCGUCCGCCCAGGGUAAGUCGGGACCUAAGGCAAGGCCGAAAGGCGUAGUCGAUGGAUAACAGGUAGAUAUUCCUGUACUGUGUUCAAUCGUUAAGAGCGAAGGAGGGACGCAGGAGGUGAAGCACGCAUCGCGAUGGAACGAUGUUCAAGCGACAAGUGCGGUUAAGAGUCAAAUGCUUCUAACCAGCAACACGAGUCGUGAUGAGGAGCGAAAUAAAAGUAGCGAAGGUGUGGUAGUCACACUGCCAAGAAAAGCUUCUAGCCAGAGAGAACAUACCCGUACCGCAAACCGACACAGGUAGUCGAGUGGAGAACACUAAGGUGAGCGAGAGAACUCUCGUUAAGGAACUCGGCAAAAUAACCCCGUAACUUCGGAAGAAGGGGUGCUGGCCAUGAGAAUGGUUAGCCGCAGUGAAUAGGCCCAAACAACUGUUUAUCAAAAACACAGGUCUCUGCAAAAUCGUAAGAUGACGUAUAGAGGCUGACACCUGCCCGGUGCUGGAAGGUUAAGAGGAGAGCUUAGCGCAAGCGAAGGUUUGAAUUGAAGCCCCAGUAAACGGCGGCCGUAACUAUAACGGUCCUAAGGUAGCGAAAUUCCUUGUCGGGUAAGUUCCGACC